UCCCGGUGUAGCGGUGAAAUGCGUAGAUAUCGGGAAGAACACCAGUGGCGAAGGCGCUCUGCUGGGCCAUCACUGACGCUCAUGGACGAAAGCCAGGGGAGCGAAAGGGAUUAGAUACCCCUGUAGUCCUGGCCGUAAACGAUGAACACUAGGUGUCGGGGGAAUCGACCCCCUCGGUGUCGUAGCCAACGCGUUAAGUGUUCCGCCUGGGGAGUACGCACGCAAGUGUGAAACUCAAAGGAAUUGACGGGGGCCCGCACAAGCGGUGGAGUAUGUGGUUUAAUUCGAUGCAACGCGAAGAACCUUACCAGGGUUUGACAUCCUGCGAAUCUCUUGGAAACGAGAGAGUGCCUUCGGGAACGCAGUGACAGGUGGUGCAUGGCUGUCGUCAGCUCGUGUCGUGAGAUGUUGGGUUAAGUCCCGCAACGAGCGCAACCCACGUCUUUAGUUGCCAGCAUUUAGUUGGGCACUCUAGAGAGACCGCCGGUGAUAAACCGGAGGAAGGUGUGGAUGACGUCAAGUCAUCAUGCCCCUUACAUCCUGGGCUACACACGUACUACAAUGCUACGGACAAAGGGCAGCAAGUUCGCGAGGACAAGCAAAUCCCAUAAACCGUGGCUCAGUUCAGAUCGUAGGCUGCAACUCGCCUACGUGAAGGAGGAAUCGCUAGUAAUCGCAGGUCAGCAUACUGCGGUGAAUACGUUCCCGGGCCUUUUGCACAC
rnacentral:rRNA from 1 species